UUUUAGAAUACGCUACAAAGACAAUUGGAACACCCUGGAUGACUAUUAUAAAAAUCAUCAACUUUAAUUUCUUUAAACCCAACAUUAAACUCGAUUACUUCUUUGAAGACUUAACGAAGCCCUUCUCUUCGAGAAUCUCUCCCUCUUCCACAUUAUCAUUGAUAGGUUUACCAUCACUAAUAGGGAAUGAACUAGGAGGAGCACUAUUUUUAUCACAUUGUUGAAUGUCCUCUUCGUGAUUUUAUAAUUGUUCAAAGGCUUGCAAAGACUUGUUGAGAUUUGGGGAACAAGCUGUC
rnacentral:lncRNA from 1 species